GCGUUCCAUUAGUUAGUUGGCGGGGUAACGGCCCACCAAGACAACGAUGGAUAGGGGUUCUGAGAGGAAGGUCCCCCACAUUGGAACUGAGACACGGUCCAAACUCCUACGGGAGGCAGCAGUGAGGAAUAUUGGUCAAUGGACGAGAGUCUGAACCAGCCAAGUAGCGUGAAGGAUGACUGCCCUAUGGGUUGUAAACUUCUUUUAUAUGGGAAUAAAACGUUCCACGUGUGGGAUUUUGUAUGUACCAUAUGAAUAAGGAUCGGCUAACUCCGUGCCAGCAGCCGCGGUAAUACGGAGGAUCCGAGCGUUAUCCGGAUUUAUUGGGUUUAAAGGGAGCGUAGGUGGAUUGUUAAGUCAGUUGUGAAAGUUUGCGGCUCAACCGUAAAAUUGCAGUUGAAACUGGCAGUCUUGAGUACAGUAGAGGUGGGCGGAAUUCGUGGUGUAGCGGUGAAAUGCUUAGAUAUCACGAAGAACUCCGAUUGCGAAGGCAGUUCACUGGACUGCAACUGACACUGAGGCUCGAAAGUGUGGGUAUCAAACAGGAUUAGAUACCCUGGUAGUCCACACAGUAAACGAUGAAUACUCGCUGUUUGCGAUAUACAGCAAGCGGC
rnacentral:rRNA from 1 species